rnacentral:rRNA from 1 species
CAUAAACGACUCUCGGCAACGGAUAUCUCGGCUCACGCAUCGAUGAAGAACGUAGCAAAAUGCGAUACUUGGUGUGAAUUGCAGAAUCCCGUGAACCAUCGAGUUUUUGAACGCAAGUUGCGCCCGAAGCCAUUCGGCCGAGGGCACGUCUGCCUGGGUGUC